rnacentral:rRNA from 1 species
UACGUAGGGUGCAAGCGUUAAUCGGAAUACUGGGCGUAAAGCGUGCGCAGGCGGUUUUGUAAGUUUGUCGUGAAAGCCCUGGGCUCAACCUGGGAAUUGCAUUGGAUACUGGCAAGCUAGAGUGCGGUAGAGGAUGGCGGAAUUCCCGGUGUAGCAGUGAAAUGCGUAGAGAUCGGGAGGAACAUCUGUGGCGAAGGCGGCCUCUGGACCAGCACUGACACUGAGGCACGAAAGCGUGGGGGAGCAAAGCAGGAUUAGCAUGACCCCGAGAG